AUUGAACGCUGGCGGCAUGCCUUACACAUGCAAGUCGAACGGCAGCACGGACUUCGGUCUGGUGGCGAGUGGCGAACGGGUGAGUAACGCGUGAGGAACCUGCCUCAAAGAGGGGGACAACAGUUGGAAACGACUGCUAAUACCGCAUAAGCCUACGACCCGGCAUCGGGUUGAGGGAAAAGGAGCAAUCCGCUUUGAGAUGGCCUCGCGUCCGAUUAGCUGGUUGGUGAGGUAACGGCCCACCAAGGCAACGAUCGGUAGCCGGACUGAGAGGUUGAACGGCCACAUUGGGACUGAGACACGGCCCAG
rnacentral:rRNA from 1 species